rnacentral:tRNA from 1 species
AACUAGGUGUCUGAUUAUAGAAUUAUUUUGAUAGAAUAAAAAAAGCAAUUUCUAAUUGCCCUCGUUA